GCCUGGUUGGUACAGUCGGUAGAGCAUGUGACUCUUAAUCUUGAAGUUGUGAGUUUGAUUCCCCCAUUAGGCG
rnacentral:tRNA from 1 species